CCUACGGGAGGCUGCAGUGGGGAAUAUUGGACAAUGGGCGAAAGCCUGAUCCAGCCAUGCCGCGUGUGUGAAGAAGGCCUUCGGGUUGUAAAGCACUUUCAGUGGGGAAGAAAGCCUUGGGGCUAAUACCCUCGAGGAAGGACAUCACCCACAGAAGAAGCACCGGCUAACUCCGUGCCAGCAGCCGCGGUAAUACGGAGGGUGCGAGCGUUAAUCGGAAUUACUGGGCGUAAAGCGCGCGUAGGCGGUCUGAUAAGCCGGUUGUGAAAGCCCCGGGCUCAACCUGGGAACGGCAUCCGGAACUGUCAGGCUAGAGUGCAGGAGAGGAGGGUAGAAUUCCCGGUGUAGCGGUGAAAUGCGUAGAGAUCGGGAGGAAUACCAGUGGCGAAGGCGGCCUUCUGGACUGACACUGACGCUGAGGUGCGAAAGCGUGGGUAGCAAACAGGAUUAGAUACCCUAGUAGUC
rnacentral:rRNA from 1 species